rnacentral:rRNA from 1 species
AGAUACGGCCAUACCAUGAUGAAAGCAAAGGAUCCCGUCCGAUCUCCUCAGUCAAGCAUCAUGUCCUGCUAUUUCGAAAAGUCGCGGCACCAGGCUGUCUUCC